UGAAGGUGUGCUACAGGCUUUAUUUUCAGACCAGGAAGAUCAUCUUACUUUUUGCAUUUGUGUUCUCACGGUAGGGUAAUCAUGCUGUGUUAUCACACUAUCCUAGGUUUGCCCAAAGGACCAGCCGAAACCUCGCCUCAAGUCACACGUAUGAUAAUUUUCCGAAACACUCCAAUUCAGUAUUACUUCAGCCAGUACAGACAGCCACAGCAGCGCCAUCGAGCCAGAGGCUGCCGCCCUUGCCCAGCAGUCGUCCAGUGA
rnacentral:lncRNA from 1 species